rnacentral:rRNA from 1 species
UACGUAGGGGGCGAGCGUUGUCCGGAUUCAUUGGGCGUAAAGCGCGCGUAGGCGGCUCGACAAGUCGGCCGUGAAAUCUCCAGGCUCAACUUGGAGGGGUCGGGCGAGACUGUCGGGCUCGAGGUGGACAGAGGGCAGUGGAAUUCCGGGUGUAGUGGUGGAAUGCGUAGAGAUCCGGAGGAACACCAGUGGCGAAGGCGGCUGCCUGGGCCUGGCCUGACGCUGAGGCGCGAAAGCGUGGGGAGCGAACCGG